AAAUUGAAGAGUUUGAUCAUGGCUCAGAUUGAACGCUGGCGGCAGGCCUAACACAUGCAAGUCGAACGGUAACAGGAAGCAGCUUGCUGCUUUGCUGACGAGUGGCGGACGGGUGAGUAAUGUCUGGGAAACUGCCUGAUGGAGGGGGAUAACUACUGGAAACGGUGGCUAAUACCGCAUAACGUCGCAAGACCAAAGAGGGGGACCUUCGGGCCUCUUGCCAUCAGAUGUGCCCAGAUGGGAUUAGCUUGUUGGUGAGGUAACGGCUCACCAAGGCGACGAUCCCUAGCUGGUCUGAGAGGAUGACCAGCCACACUGGAACUGAGACACGGUCCAGACUCCUACGGGAGGCAGCAGUGGGGAAUAUUGCACAAUGGGCGCAAGCCUGAUGCAGCCAUGCCGCGUGUAUGAAGAAGGCCUUCGGGUUGUAAAGUACUUUCAGCGGGGAGGAAGGUGUUGUGGUUAAUAACCGCAGCAAUUGACGUUACCCGCAGAAGAAGCACCGGCUAACUCCGUGCCAGCAGCCGCGGUAAUACGGAGGGUGCAAGCGUUAAUCGGAAUUACUGGGCGUAAAGCGCACGCAGGCGGUCUGUCAAGUCGGAUGUGAAAUCCCCGGGCUCAACCUGGGAACUGCAUUCGAAACUGGCAGGCUUGAGUCUUGUAGAGGGGGGUAGAAUUCCAGGUGUAGCGGUGAAAUGCGUAGAGAUCUGGAGGAAUACCGGUGGCGAAGGCGGCCCCCUGGACAAAGACUGACGCUCAGGUGCGAAAGCGUGGGGAGCAAACAGGAUUAGAUACCCUGGUAGUCCACGCCGUAAACGAUGUCUACUUGGAGGUUGUGCCCUUGAGGCGUGGCUUCCGGAGCUAACGCGUUAAGUAGACCGCCUGGGGAGUACGGCCGCAAGGUUAAAACUCAAAUGAAUUGACGGGGGCCCGCACAAGCGGUGGAGCAUGUGGUUUAAUUCGAUGCAACGCGAAGAACCUUACCUGGUCUUGACAUCCACAGAAGAAUCCAGAGAUGGAUUUGUGCCUUCGGGAACUGUGAGACAGGUGCUGCAUGGCUGUCGUCAGCUCGUGUUGUGAAAUGUUGGGUUAAGUCCCGCAACGAGCGCAACCCUUAUCCUUUGUUGCCAGCGGUUAGGCCGGGAACUCAAAGGAGACUGCCAGUGAUAAACUGGAGGAAGGUGGGGAUGACGUCAAGUCAUCAUGGCCCUUACGACCAGGGCUACACACGUGCUACAAUGGCGCAUACAAAGAGAAGCGACCUCGCGAGAGCAAGCGGACCUCAUAAAGUGCGUCGUAGUCCGGAUUGGGAGUCUGCAACUCGACUCCAUGAAGUCGGAAUCGCUAGUAAUCGUGGAUCAGAAUGCCACGGUGAAUACGUUCCCGGGCCUUGUACACACCGCCCGUCACACCAUGGGAGUGGGUUGCAAAAGAAGUAGGUAGCUUAACCUUCGGGAGGGCGCUUACCACUUUGUGAUUCAUGACUGGGGUGAAGUCGUAACAAGGUAACCGUAGGGGAACCUGCGGUUGGAUCACCUCCUUACCUUAAAGAA
rnacentral:rRNA from 1 species